ensembl:lncRNA
CAACUGAGAAGACACCUAAGUUUACUUGGUCCACAUGGAGACUGGGAAAGAUAAGACCUCGAAUGUUAAUAUGAGCAGAAACAAUAGAUGAACAAGGUGCAUAAAAUAACCAACCUUAAAAUAAUAAAAAGAAGGGUAGCCUGACCAAAUGGCAUCUGACAUGGAAGUGCAUAUGAAGCAAAGGUAUGGAACUAAAUUCCCAACUGAAUGUCACUGGCACUGACUGAGACCCACUGAUGCUUGCUGAACAUUUUAUGAAGAUCAAACAGUGGAUGUUUCAGCAAUGGUGACCACGAUAGUAGGUUACUACCACAGGUGGAGACUUUUAUGAACAUGGCAUGAAGACUCAUGUUCAUCACUGGGAAAAAUGUAUAUCUAAAGGUGGUGGUUAUGUUGAAAAACAAUGUUUUAUAGCUAAGAAUUUGCUCUGUUGACAGUGUUAUUGUGUUCUUUGCAAUGAAUGCAUGGAACUUCCAUGGAAAUAAAUAGGAG